rnacentral:rRNA from 1 species
AGAGUUUGAUCCUGGCUCAGGAUGAACGCUGGCUACAGGCUUAACACAUGCAAGUCGAGGGGCAGCAUGCCGGUUGCUUGCAACCGGUGAUGGCGACCGGCGCACGGGUGAGUAACGCGUAUCCAACCUUCCCGCGACCAAGGGAUAACCUGCCGAAAGGCAGACUAAUACCUUAUGUCCUCCUUUGAAGGCAUCUGACGAGGAGCAAAGAUCCGUCGGUCACGGAUGGGGAUGCGUCCGAUUAGCUUGUUGGCGGGGCAACGGCCCACCAAGGCUUCGAUCGGUAGGGGUUCUGAGAGGAAGGCCCCCCACACUGGAACUGAGACACGGUCCAGACUCCUACGGGAGGCAGCAGUGAGGAAUAUUGGUCAAUGGGCGGAAGCCUGAACCAGCCAAGUAGCGUGCAGGACGACGGCCCUACGGGUUGUAAACUGCUUUUAUGCGGGGAUAAAGUUGCCCACGCGUGGGUUUUUGCAGGUACCGCAUGAAUAAGGACCGGCUAAUUCCGUGCCAGCAGCCGCGGUAAUACGGAAGGUCCGGGCGUUAUCCGGAUUUAUUGGGUUUAAAGGGAGCGCAGGCCGCCGUGCAAGCGUGCCGUGAAAAGCAGCGGCCCAACCGCUGCCCUGCGGCGCGAACUGCUUGGCUUGAGUGCGCCGGAAGCGGGCGGAAUUCGUGGUGUAGCGGUGAAAUGCUUAGAUAUCACGAAGAACCCCGAUUGCGAAGGCAGCCCGCUGUGGCGCCACUGACGCUGAGGCUCGAAGGUGCGGGUAUCGAACAGGAUUAGAUACCCUGGUAGUCCGCACGGUAAACGAUGGAUACCCGCUGUCCGGCCCGUAUGGUCUGGGCGGCCAAGCGAAAGCGUUAAGUAUCCCACCUGGGGAGUACGCCGGCAACGGUGAAACUCAAAGGAAUUGACGGGGGCCC